GAUCAUGACCUGAGCUAAAGGCAGACACUUAACCAAUUGAGCCACCCAGGCACCUCCCCCAAAGCUAUUUUUGAGGUUUGUAAGCCAGUUUUCCAGGGUCCAUCAUUUUCUCUUCUAAGUAGAAUAAGAAGUGGAAUCUGAACAUUAUUGACAAUGAUGCAUUCAUUGCAUGCAUUCAUGUGACAUUAAUACAUUUUUCUAUUUAUCCUGUAGAUACGUAUAUAUUUUAAGUAAUGUCUACACUCAAUGUGGGGCUCUAACUCAUGACCCCAAGAUCAAGAGUUGCAUGCUCCCCCAAAUGAGCCAGCCAGGCACCCCUAUAGAAAUGGAACCUUCCCAGAACAUGGGUGAGACCCCUGCAGACAUGCUGGAUACCCUCCCAGGGUAGAGCCCUCAGCCCCACUGAAGGGUACUGGAAGGAGGAAGUAUAGGAUACCCGGCGGGGAAUCAAGUGGUUCCUGCAGGAUCAGUGCCUCCACAAUGACCAAGGUUUAGACCAAGACUUCAGGGUGCUAAAGGUAGUGAAGUAUCAAAAGGAAAACACAGAAAUGGACUUCCACUCCAACCAUGAUGGAGUCACAAGGACCAGAUUUACCUUUGCUGCUUCAACAAAUGAAAAACUGGAAAAAAUAAGUAAAACAACAUUUGAAAACAGGCAAAGCAGGGGAAAAAUCCCUGAGAGAAGGAGAAAAGGAGGGAAGUCCUGUGACUGUCCUCGUGUACUUCCUGUAGAGACUUUUGCAAGCCACAGCAGAGGAAAGGGUAAACUAAACAGUCUUCCUGAACUGAAAAGAUAAGAGUUGAGAAUUCAGGAAGGCCGAAGUGGCUAGAAUUCCAAGACAUUAUACAGUCAAUAGAAUUCAUGGAAAAGGUUGUCAAAUAGGCUAUUCUAAAUAAAACUUCACGUAUUCAAGAAGACAGAAGGUGCUGUCAAAUGUGCAAGGAAGCCUCCUGAAAGGGAGGAGGGGCAUGGGAGGGUGCCAGUGAAGCUCUCAGAAUGAUGAGUGCCACUGGCUGCCCCAGCCGCCUGUGAGUGCUAUCAGAACUCACAAGAGAUUGUGUGUCCUACAUGUAUCCUGCUGGCUACGGUUCAUCAUCCGAGUAAGAAUUGAAAAGUGUUUCAGAACCAGGAAGAAAAGCCCCACUUUCAUGCAGUAUCUCUCCACUCCCAUCUAGUAAAAAGCUUAACACUAGCCCAGCUGUCAGUAGGGAAUGUUUACAUGGCUCAGCUCCAAUACUGCAAAGCAGGUCAAGGAAGGAUAGAUUUGCUAGGAAAUAAAUUGAUAAAGCACAAGAGUAUCCAAAACAUUAUAUCUUUUGAUUUCCACCUCUGACAAAGAAGAUUCAACCUGAAGGUUCACCAAAGAGAAACAGAGAUCUCUAUUAGCAUCAAUAAAAGGACAAUGAAAAUACAGCUUGUGAAUAGAAGCCCAACUCUCUUCAGAUUUUACCAGUAAGAUAUCACAUUUCCAUUCUUCUGUUUUUCCACAUUUAAUUUCUAGACUUAGAAAUAUCAUAAUUUGGAAAUUACAGUAAAGUAUAUAUGCUGGUCUUAACUCCCUGGAUGUGCUUUCACUAUAUUCACAGAAUUGCUUAUUUACAAGUAGUAGUUACCCCCUUGUCCAUGGGACAUACAUUCCAAGACCCUCAGGGGAUGCCUCAAAGUACAUACAUACCAAACUCUGUAUGUACUAUGUUUUUCCUAUACAUACAUACCUAUGGUAAAGUUUAACUUACAAAUUAGGCAUAGUUAGAGAUUAACAAUAAUAACUAAUAAUAAAAUAGAACCAUUAUAACAUACAGUAUAAAAUCGUGAAUAUGGUUUCUCUCAAUAUAUUACUGUACUAUGAUAGCCUUCUUCUUGUGAUGUGAAAUGACAAAUGCCUAUGUGAUGAGAUGAAGUGAAGUGAAUGACAUAAGUACUAUGACAAAGCACUAGGCUACUAU